CCUACGGUAGGCAGCAGUGGGGAAUAUUGCACAAUGGGGGAAACCCUGAUGCAGCGACGCCGCGUGAGUGAAGAAGUAUUUCGGUAUGUCAAGCUCUAUCAGCAGGGAAGACAAUGACGGUACCUGAUUAAGAAGCACCGGCUAACUACGUGCUAGCAGCCGCGGUAAUACGUAGGGGGCAAGCGUUAUCCGGCUUUACUGGGUGUAACGGGAGCGUAGACGGCAGCACAAGUCUGGAGGGAAAUGCCGGGGCUUAACCCCGGAACUGCUUUCGAAACUGUUCAGCUAGAGUGCAGGAGAGGUAAGUGGAAGUCCUAGUGUAGCGGUGAAAUGCGUAGAUAUUAGGAGGAACACCAGUGGCGAAGGCGGCUUAAUGGACUGUAACUGACGUUGAGGCUCGAAAGCGUGGGGAGCAAACAGGAUUAGAUACCCGAGUAGUC
rnacentral:rRNA from 1 species